rnacentral:SRP_RNA from 1 species
AUUUGGUCCCUUCGCGACAAUUCGCUGUGAAACCCGCCAGGUCCGGAAGGAAGCAACGGUAGCAGUACAAUUGGGCGCCGAGGUGUGGCUGGGUUGG